CUGUCAUCAGGAAGCAGAAAAUGCAUGACUGUUUUUCUUUUCUGAACUAUUUGUUGUUGUUUAAUUUUUUUAAUAGUUACACAUUCAUGUUACAUGUAACUGAGGUUAUCUAGUAAGAUAUUAGCCUAAUUUUUUGAGUAAUUUCUCUCCUCAGAGCAUCCAGUAUAACUUACAUGAGUUCUCUUAAAAUCUCGAAGGCUUCACAGAGAAACACGAUGUAAGUAUUUAUUUAUUUGACAUUGAAAUAACUGAAAUGUUUUUCUGUUCUUUUUUUCUUUUAUUAUCUUCUGAGAAAUCCUAGCUUUGCCGAACCUGUUACAUGAUGAUCCUGCUGUGCUGGACUUUAUAUGAUAAAUGAGAGCUACACAGGGAUGAGUGAAUCUACAGCAGGAGAGAGGAGAAAUCCUUCAGCAUGUCAUAUCCUGCAUUAUGAUUGAUCAGAGAGAUCAUGUUGACUGACCUGUAGGAAGUGAAGGUGAUCUUCAGUGUGUGAGAGCUGCUCCAGCUCAGUGUUUCUCAUCUUUAGCUCAGUGAUCUCCUGCUCCAGCUCUUCAAUCAGCUCUUGCUCCUGUUUCUCUGCUGCUUUCUGCUGCUCCUCCAUCAUCUCCAGCAGUUCAGUCUGA